AUUGAACGCUGGCGGCAUGCCUUACACAUGCAAGUCGAACGGCAGCACGGGUGCUUGCACCUGGUGGCGAGUGGCGAACGGGUGAGUAAUACAUCGGAACGUACCUUAUCGUGGGGGAUAACGCAGCGAAAGUUGCGCUAAUACCGCAUACGCCCUGAGGGGGAAAGCGGGGGACCGUAAGGCCUCGCGCGAUUAGAGCGGCCGAUGUCUGAUUAGCUUGUUGGUGAGGUAAAAGCUCACCAAGGCGAUGAUCAGUAGCUGGUAUGAGAGGACGAUCAGCCACACUGGGGCUGAGGCACGGCCCAGACUCCUACGGGAGGCAGCAGUGGGGAAUUUUGGACAAUGGGGGCAACCCUGAUCCAGCAAUUACGCGUGAGUGAAGAAGGCCUUCGGAUUGUAAAGCUCUUUUGUCAGGGAAGAAACAGCAGCUCUAACACAGUCUGCGAAUGACGGUACCUGAAGAAUAAGCACCGGCUAACUACGUGCCAGCCGCCGCGGUAA
rnacentral:rRNA from 1 species